UUUAUCUCAGUCCCGAAAACGAAAAACAUGUACGUGUCAUUCGUUCUAAUCUAGAAGUUUUAAUUGCGCCGAUAAAAAUAACAAUUUCGCCUGUUUUAAGCCUAUUUAUAAACUAUGGCCGAUAAAGUCAAUCAUGUGAAUUGUACCUGAGUGUAGUUCAGCAUUCACACACAGUUUGAGCGCCGUACUUUGCCUGUGAGUGGAAUCAGAAUACGAAAAUAGAGCGAUAAUAACAGGAAAAGAAUCGGAAAAAAUUUGGUCAAAUGCCUGGGGAAUGUUUGCCGAAAAAGUGAUGCCAAUUCUUUUUAUAUCCGUGUGUAAUUGUCCUUAUGAUCCUCUCGUGAUGUGGUGGUCAGAGUCGAGAAUAAAAAAUUGGAAACGGGGAGAAAUGGUUGAUAACCAUUUGGUAGAACUAGAAACCAGCAAUUUUCAUGACCCAAAUUCAAGCUGCUGGCUACUUGUUUGCCGUCUACAUUCCUCAUCUUUGAGAUCACCCACCUUAAUACCACAUUUUCCAACCUUGUCGGACAAGGCAGGUGGGCGCUAGAUGCAGACCCGAAGCCCUUUCCUAUCGCUACCAUAAUGGGAGAAGUGGCGUGGGCCCAAAAUUACCAUAGAUCGCAGUAAAAACGUAUCAACAAAGAACAAGGUAGAUAUUUUGCAAUGAGUUAUUGCCCCAGACUCGUGUACAGGGUGUGCCAAUGCGGAACUGGCGCUUACUUGGCUCAGAAGUGAAGACUUGAAAAAAAAACAGCUGCAUUUCACUGUGGGAUAAUGCAAAGCCGGACUGGUUUACUAGUUGUUGGUUGGAGCUUUACAAACCGUUUUCAACGGUACUGUUUAACUAUUACAGGCCAAGAAACAUGAACAAUUUGGGUAAUUAAUAUGCCCCGCGGAAACCUGCUUAGGAACGUAUGGUGGAAAAUGUAACAGAAAAAUAUGUAAACGGAGUGAAAUAAUCACAUAAAAACGUGGCGUUUAAUUUGAAUAAAACACUAAUUAAUAAGACUGAUUAUAAAGGGUAAUUAAAUAAUCUUCAAGCA